AUAUAUGUUAUUACUAUUUAGACACAGGUUAACCCUUUCAAGACUGGUCAUGGGUGAAAGGCCAUGUCAUCUUGUUUGUUGACUCGGAUUCAAAAUUUUAUUGAACUACUAUUUCAUGAAU